CAUCGCGUAUGAUUAUUUAAACUAAAUUGAAAUAUGAUAAUUUAGCAACAUAUAAUAUAAAAACGAUCCUACGCUCUACACUCAAAGCUCAUGCAUAACAUGUUCAACAUUGAAUAGAAUAUAUUAUUUUGUUGUUCCUUCGCCCACAAUUAUAUAUUUCACAAAAAAAACUAUCAAAUAGGAAUUGAGCCAUCCAAAAAUAAACAAAAUAUUUAUAAAUGAAUAGGUCCUAUGCACAGUUUCUGCAAGAAAGAUAUGACCCCAGAGUGAAGGGGAACCUCACUAGUAAUUUUGAACUACAUGCUCUUUACAAACACAGGCAUGCAAGGAUGAAAAAUAGUCAUUAUUAAAAUUAUAAUGUAGGCAUAAGGCAAAUUAACUAUCCCAAUAUUGACUUAAAAGUUCAUUAUUUACGUAUCAAAAUAUGUAAUAUGUAACAUUCAAAUGUACUGCAUUCUCUUAACCAAGAUCCAAACCCAACUGAUGAAAGAAAAUGUAACUAAAAGUUUCUCACAGUAACAAGCAUACACUUUUACUUGAGGCAAAAAAGUUUUAUUGAAUUUUGUAAACAACACAAACUAUUUCAAGAAAGUUUUGUUUCAGAACUGAAUCUUGCAACACAAACAGUUUCAUAAAAAAAAAAACUUUGAUUAUGAAUAUCCUCAAAUAGUUUUUGACCAAAGCAGGACACAUUUUUUUGGUAAAUUAGGCUUUAACAGUAGGAGAAGGGGAACACAAGAAAGUUUAAGACAAAAUUAAAUUUAACACACAAAAAAUCCACGGAUAAAGAACACAACAACGAAUGAAUAAGAAUCUAAGGGAACCACAUAUUUAUUAGUCAGCUUUUGGAAUUAAUGAUAUCGAUACGAACUCACUUCCUAUAAUCAACAACAAAGACAUAACUUAUUUAUCUGACAUCCACAACGGCAAAACUUAAGAGGAGAAGUAAACCGCAUAUUCAUAGGCCGCAUUUAUCGAAAUAAGUCCAUUCGUUUUUUAGAAUCAAUAAACAGCCACCAAUCUAACAAUCCAACGUUCUAAGAAAAUAAUAAAAAUGAGGCGAAAGAAAUGACGAUGGGAACAGCUCGUACCUUUAUCGGGGCAGCAAGACUGAGGCGAUAACGUCAAGGAUUCCAGGCAAGAACAAACUCAAACACAGGACUUCAAGAACUCGAAAAUUUCC
rnacentral:lncRNA from 1 species